AGUGAACGCUGGCGGUAGGCCUAACACAUGCAAGUCGAACGGCAGCACAGUAAGAGCUUGCUCUUACGGGUGGCGAGUGGCGGACGGGUGAGGAAUACAUCGGAAUCUACUUUUUCGUGGGGGAUAACGUAGGGAAACUUACGCUAAUACCGCAUACGACCUACGGGUGAAAGCAGGGGAUCUUCGGACCUUGCGCGAUUGAAUGAGCCGAUGUGGGAUUAGCUAGUUGGCGGGGUAAAGGCCCACCAAGGCGACGAUCCGUAGCUGGUCUGUGAGGAUGGUCGGCCACACUGGAACUGAGACACGGUCCAGACUCCUACGGGAGGCAGCAGUGGGGAAUAUUGGACAAUGGGCGCAAGCCUGAUCCAGCCAUACCGCGUGGGUGAAGAAGGCCUUCGGGUUGUAAAGCCCUUUUGUUGGGAAAGAAAAGCAGCAGGUUGAUACCCCGCUGUUCUGACGGUACCCAAAGAAUAAGCACCGGCUAACUUCGUG
rnacentral:rRNA from 1 species